rnacentral:lncRNA from 1 species
CUAUUAGUGACACCUAGUAGUAUGUAGUGACAAUCUAGUAGAAUUAAAAUGAACCACUAGGUGUAGUUAACGUAUAAUUCAGUCUCUCUAUUAUGAGUCCCAACUAGAUGGUAGGUCAUAGAUAAAUCGUCAAACCUCAAUAUCAGUCAUAUGAUAGAUUCGAUUAGCUCAAAUCUAGUUGUGAUUUUUAUAAAACUCUUUUCCAUCAAUCAUAUUAAUGUGGCCAC